rnacentral:rRNA from 1 species
UACGGAGGGGGUUAGCGUUGUUCGGAAUUACUGGGCGUAAAGCGUGCGUAGGCGGAUUGGACAGUAUGGGGUGAAAUCCCGAGGCUCAACCUCGGAACUGCCUCAUAAACUACCAGUCUAGAGUUCGAGAGAGGUGAGUGGAACUCCGAGUGUAGAGGUGAAAUUCGUAGAUAUUCGGAAGAACACCAGUGGCGAAGGCGGCUCACUGGCUCGAUACUGACGCUGAGGUACGAAAGUGUGGGGAGCAAAC